rnacentral:rRNA from 1 species
AGCUAAUACCGGAUAAUAUUUUGAACCGCAUGGUUCAAAAGUGAAAGACGGUCUUGCUGUCACUUAUAGAUGGAUCCGCGCUGCAUUAGCUAGUUGGUAAGGUAACGGCUUACCAAGGCAACGAUGCAUAGCCGACCUGAGAGGGUGAUCGGCCACACUGGAACUGAGACACGGUCCAGACUCCUACGGGAGGCAGCAGUAGGGAAUCUUCCGCAAUGGGCGAAAGCCUGACGGAGCAACGCCGCGUGAGUGAUGAAGGUCUUCGGAUCGUAAAACUCUGUUAUUAGGGAAGAACAUAUGUGUAAGUAACUGUGCACAUCUUGACGGUACCUAAUCAGAAAGCCACGGCUAACUACGUGCCAGCAGCCGCGGUAAUACGUAGGUGGCAAGCGUUAUCCGGAAUUAUUGGGCGUAAAGCGCGCGUAGGCGGUUUUUUAAGUCUGAUGUGAAAGCCCACGGCUCAACCGUGGAGGGUCAUUGGAAACUGGAAAACUUGAGUGCAGAAGAGGAAAGUGGAAUUCCAUGUGUAGCGGUGAAAUGCGCAGAGAUAUGGAGGAACACCAGUGGCGAAGGCGACUUUCUGGUCUGUAACUGACGCUGAUGUGCGAAAGCGUGGGGAUCAAACAGGAUUAGAUACCCUGGUAGUCCACGCCGUAAACGAUGAGUGCUAAGUGUUAGGGGGUUUCCGCCCCUUAGUGCUGCAGCUAACGCAUUAAGCACUCCGCCUGGGGAGUACGACCGCAAGGUUGAAACUCAAAGGAAUUGACGGGGACCCGCACAAGCGGUGGAGCAUGCGGCUUAAUUCGAAGCAACGCGAAGAACCUUACCAAAUCUUGACAUCCUUUGACAACUCUAGAGAUAGAGCCUUCCCCUUCGGGGGACAAAGUGACAGGUGGUGCAUGGUUGUCGUCAGCUCGUGUCGUGAGAUGUUGGGUUAAGUCCCGCAACGAGCGCAACCCUUAAGCUUAGUUGCCAUCAUUAAGUUGGGCACUCUAAGUUGACUGCCGGUGACAAACCGGAGGAAGGUGGGGAUGACGUCAAAUCAUCAUGCCCCUUAUGAUUUGGGCUACACACGUGCUACAAUGGACAAUACAAAGGGCAGCGAAACCGCGAGGUCAAGCAAAUCCCAUAAAGUUGUUCUCAGUUCGGAUUGUAGUCUGCAACUCGACUACAUGAAGCUGGAAUCGCUAGUAAUCGUAGAUCGGCAUGCUACGGUGAAUACGUUCCCGGGUCUUGUACACACCGCCCGUCACACCACGAGAGUUUGUAACACCCGAAGCCGGUGGAGUAACCUUUUAGGAGCUAGCCGUCGAAGGUGGGACAAAUGAUUGGGGUGAAGUCGUAACAAGGUAGCCGUAUCGGAAGGUGCGGCUGGAUCACCU